UCAUACUUUGGUGGGGGUGGAGACUUGUACUCAUACACCGGUGAAGGGUCGUACUUAGGAGGAGGUGGAGACUUGUACUCGUAUUUUGGUGGUGGUGGUGACUUAUACUCAUACACAGGUGAUGGAUCAUACUUUGGUGGUGGUGGCGGGGACUUGUAUUCGUAUUUCGGCGGAGGGGGGGAUUUGUACUCGUACACCGGUGAAGGAUCAUACUUUGGGGGUGGGGGUGGAGAUUUGUACUCGUACUUGGGGGGUGGAGGCGAUUUGUACUCGUACACUGGUGAUGGAUCAUACUUGAGGGGUGGAGGUGGAGAUUUGUACUCAUACUUCGGUGGUGGAGGCGAUUUGUACUCAUACACUGGUGAUGGAUCAUACUUCAGGGGUGGAGGUGGAGAUUUGUACUCGUACUUGGGGGGUGGAGGCGAUUUGUACUCAUACACAGGUGAUGGAUCAUACUCUGGAGGUGGAGGGGACUUGUAUUCGUAUUUUGGUGGAGGAGGAGACUUGUAGUCCGGGGAUGGAGGAUCAACG
rnacentral:lncRNA from 1 species